rnacentral:rRNA from 1 species
GGUAUGGGAUGAGCUUGCGUCCGAUUAGCUAGUAGGCGGGGUAACGGCCCACCUAGGCGACGAUCGGUAGCCGGCCUGAGAGGGUGAUCGGCCACAUUGGGACUGAGAUACGGCCCAGACUCCUACGGGAGGCAGCAGUAGGGAAUAUUGCACAAUGGGGGGAACCCUGAUGCAGCAACGCCACGUGUGGGAAGAAGCAUUUCGGUGUGUAAACCACUGUCGUGAGGGAAUAAGGCUAUUUUUCGGAGUAGUUGAAUGUACCUCGAAAGGAAGCACCGGCAAACUUCGUGCCAGCAGCCGCGGUAAUACGAGGGGUGCAAGCGUUGUUCGGAAUCACUGGGCGUAAAGGGAGCGCAGGCGGAAGUGCAAGCAAUCUGUACAAUCCCGGGGCCCAACCCCGGUCCUGCAGAUUGGACUGUAUUUCUUGGAUAGUUCAGGGGCAGGC